rnacentral:rRNA from 1 species
UACGUAGGGUGCGAGCGUUGUCCGGAAUUAUUGGGCGUAAAGAGCUCGUAGGCGGUCUGUCGCGUCGAUCGUGAAAACUUGGGGCUUAACCCUGAGCUUGCGGUCGAUACGGGCAUGACUGGAGUUCGGCAGGGGAGACUGGAAUUCCUGGUGUAGCGGUGAAAUGCGCAGAUAUCAGGAGGAACACCGGUGGCGAAGGCGGGUCUCUGGGCCGGCAUUGACGCUGAGGAGCGAAAGCCAGGGGAGCAAACGGG